rnacentral:rRNA from 1 species
UAUCAGCUCGGCCUGACAACUCCUUCUAAAGUUUGACCUCAAAUCAGGUAGGACUACCCGCUGAACUUAAGCAUAUCAAUAAGCGGAGGAAAAGAAACCAACAGGGAUUGCCUCAGUAACGGCGAGUGAAGCGGCAAAAGCUCAAAUUUGAAAUCUGGUACCUUUGGUGCCCGAGUUGUAAUUUGAAGAUAGUUUUCUGGUGCUGGCCCUUGUCUAUGUUCCUUGGAACAGGACGUCACAGAGGGUGAGAAUCCCGUCUGGCGGGGUGUCCAGUGCUUUGUAGAUUUCUAUCGACGAGUCGAGUUGUUUGGGAAUGCAGCUCUAAGUGGGUGGUAAAUUCCAUCUAAAGCUAAAUAUUGGCGAGAGACCGAUAGCGAACAAGUACAGUGAUGGAAAGAUGAAAAGAACUUUGAAAAGAGAGUGAAAAAGUACGUGAAAUUGUUGAAAGGGAAGGGUAUUAGAUCAGACUUGGUGUUUUGUGAUUAUCUUCCCUUCUUGGGUUGUGCACUCGCAUUUCACUGGGCCAGCAUCGGUUCGGGUGGUAAGAUAAUGACAUUGGAACGUGGCACUGCCUUCGGGUGGUGUGUUAUAGCCCUUGUUGAUGUUGCCUACCUGGACCGAGGACUGCGGCUUUG